AGAACGAACGCUGGCGGCAUGCCUAACACAUGCAAGUCGAACGAGACCUUCGGGUCUAGUGGCGCACGGGUGCGUAACGCGUGGGAACCUGCCUUUAGGUUCGGAAUAACUCAGAGAAAUUUGAGCUAAUACCGGAUAAUGUCUUCGGACCAAAGAUUUAUCGCCUUUAGAUGGGCCCGCGUAGGAUUAGCUUGUUGGUGGGGUAAUGGCCUACCAAGGCGACGAUCCUUAGCUGGUCUGAGAGGAUGAUCAGCCACACUGGGACUGAGACACGGCCCAGACUCCUACGGGAGGCAGCAGUGGGGAAUAUUGGACAAUGGGCGAAAGCCUGAUCCAGCAAUGCCGCGUGUGUGAAGAAGGCCUUCGGG
rnacentral:rRNA from 1 species